GCCAAGGCAACAGAGGUGGUGCUGGAGAAAAAACCCCAGAGAAUAACAACAAAACUGCUCUUCAUCUUCAUCUUGGUCUUGGUCUUGCAAUACCAGCCGUCGUCAUCAUCAUCAUCAUUGCUGUACUUUGCUACAGAUUUAGACAAAGUGGACAAGGUGGAGGAAAAAAGGAUAAUGUUGACAAUCCUGCAGCAGAGCCUUUAAAUGCUCCAGAUGAAAACCUAGAAAACUAAAAUGGCCGAAGCUUGACCCCUAAACUGACCUCUCUUCAACCAAUUUCAUGUUCUGGUAUGAAACCUGGGACAUAGAUAGAACUAUGUAGGAUGACAGAAAAAACUCAGUUUGCCUUAAACCCAACAGGAAGUCCUCCAUAUUGAAUCAAAGGGACCAUUCUGGGGCCAUUUUAGAUUAUAUACAAAUGUGAGGAGGUGUCCUAGAGAGAUAAGGUUGAAAAUCUUCCAUAAUCAUAACUGUUGCUAUAUUUUUAAGUCUUAUUCUGUUUUGAAAAACAUGUAUCUCUAAAAGUGUUUUUCUAAUCUAUGCAAAAGUUGCCAGACUUGAUUCCUAGCUUGAGCCUAAGAAAUGUUUUAAUAUAAUUUCUGUCAGAGAAUUUAAUUUUUCCUAAAAUCCUUCAUGUUUUAGAUGUCUCUGCUCCAGCAGCCCUGAUUCAAAUGAUUACUUUACCUCCUCAAGAUGCCAUCAAGUGCAUCAGAGGCCUGAUAAUCAGCCAUUCAUUUAACUCUGGUGUGUGGAAACAAGGAAACACCUAAAAGGACCAGAGAUGAGAAACACUGGUUAUGUGUGAAGUAAAUCAGACAGUCCCACUUAAUUGUUGAAAAUGUGGCAACCCUGCUGGCAGCUGCAGUGAUAAAAGUUUCAUGUUCCAUCGUCAGAUUUAAAUUUUGAAAAUAGAGAUGCUCGUAUUGCUGAUAGGAGGUAGCCUGCUUACUGAGCACAGCAGCAAUUUGUAAAUCUUGUCUGUUUUUGGACAUGAAAUUAGAACAUGGUUCAAUCAGGUCUGAUUUUAUUUCCACAUCUGGGAUAAAAACGUCCAGGAAAAUGGAAGAAAGCAAAACGUCCACUGCUUUAUGCAGGAAGAGUCCUGAAGUCAGGCUGUAGCACACAUGCAUGUUAAUACACUACUGUUGCUAUGGAAACCAUUUUAUAGUUAACUGUGCUCUCCCUCCUCUUGUUUUAACGGAGAUGCAACUAAGCGAUAAACUUCCAGAGAUUAUUCCACUUUACUCUCAGAGCCCAGAGCUUCUAUAUCUAUACAGCAUUACACUUGGAUUUUGAUUACUUGAGUUUAGGUUUUUAUUCAAAGUAACCAUUAAAUAUUUACUGUGUCCUGAGCUCUGGAAUCAACUAAACAGAUUUCCUUAAUAAGCAGCUUUUUAGUGAUACUUUUAGAUGCUUCUGUUGUUGUUUUGACCUCCUGGUCGAGAAAAAGGAGGAAAAUAUGUGAAUGAGAGCUGACUUUGUUUAAUAAGCUAUAUUAAAAUAUAGUAGGAGUAGACACUAAAAAACAGGAAAGAAGCCAACACUAAUCCUAAACUGUAAACAGCGCCUCAUCCUAUCUUCCUUAGAGAUAGGGUGAGGGACUCGGAGUAGAGCCGCUGCUCCUCCACAUCAAGAGGAGUUAGUUGAGGUGGCUAGGGCAUCGUCUACGUCUUUAGUGAGUCUGCUGCCCCCGUGACUCGGUCCCGGAUGAAGUGGAAGACAACAAGUACAAGUACAAGUAGUUAAAAGACACUUGCAGCUCAUCUGUCUUAAUGUAUCAGAUGCUCAUACCUUUACGAUGAAUGCUAAGGCUGAGAUUAAGUGACUGUUGGAUUUAACCUUAAUAUUUAACCCUGGUGAUUCAAAAUUGUUUUCUGUGGCUAUUUGUCCCAAUAAAUGUGAUUUUCAGUCCAGUCCUAUGCAACUUUAUUCAUACAGUACUUUAAAUGAUCACACAAGACCUAUGUGAUGGAAAUUCUUGCAGUAAGCAUUUCACAGUGUAUGACCUUUGGUUUACCUCACUCCCCUGAACCUCUGUGUUAGAGGAGGAAGCUGUA